rnacentral:rRNA from 1 species
AGUUUGAUCCUGGCUCAGAUCGGACGCUGGCGGCAGGCCUAACACAUGCAAGUCGAGCGGUAGAGAGAAGCUUGCUUCUCUUGAGAGAGGCGGACGGGUGAGUAAAGCCUAGGAAUCUGCCUGGUAGUGGGGGAUAACGUUCGGAAACGGACGCUAAUACCGCAUACGUCCUACGGGAGAAAGCAGGGGACCUUCGGGCCUUGCGCUAUCAGAUGAGCCUAGGUCGGAUUAGCUAGUUGGUGAGGUAAUGGCUCACCAAGGCGACGAUCCGUAACUGGUCUGAGAGGAUGAUCAGUCACACUGGAACUGAGACACGGUCCAGACUCCUACGGGAGGCAGCAGUGGGGAAUAUUGGACAAUGGGCGAAAGCCUGAUCCAGCCAUGCCGCGUGUGUUAAGAAGGUCUUCGGGUUGUAAAGCACUUUAAGUUGGGAGGAAGGGCAUUAACCUAAUACGUUAGUGUUUUGACGUUACCGACAGAAUAAGCACCGGCUAACUCUG